UACGGGAGGCAGCAGUGGGGAAUAUUGCACAAUGGGCGCAAGCCUGAUGCAGCCAUGCCGCGUGUAUGAAGAAGGCCUUCGGGUUGUAAAGUACUUUUCAGUCGUGAGGAAGGUGUUAAGGUUAAUAACCUUAGCAAUUGACGUUAGCGACAGAAGAAGCACCGGCUAACUCCGUGCCAGCAGCCGCGGUAAUACGGAGGGUGCGAGCGUUAAUCGGAAUUACUGGGCGUAAAGGGCACGCAGGCGGUUAAUAAGUUGGAUGUGAAAUCCCCGGGCUUAACCUGGGAAUGGCAUUCAAGACUGGUUAGCUAGAGUCUUGUAGAGGGGGUAGAAUUCCAUGUGUAGCGGUGAAAUGCGUAGAGAUGUGGAGGAAUACCGGUGGCGAAGGCGGCCCCUGGACAAAGGACUGACGCUCAUGUGCGAAAGCGUGGGGAGCGAAAC
rnacentral:rRNA from 1 species